rnacentral:rRNA from 1 species
UACGAGUGCCCCAAGCGUUAUCCGGAAUUAUUGGGCGUAAAGGGUGUGUAGGUGGUUGUGUUAGUCUUCUGUUAAAGCUCUCGGCUUAACCGGGAACAUGCAGAGGAAACGGCACGACUAGAGGAUGUGAGAGGUGUACAGAACUCAUGGUGUAGGGGUGAAAUCCGUUGAUAUCAUGGGGAAUACCAAAAGCGAAGGCAGUACACUGGCGCAUUCCUGACACUGAGACACGAAAGCGUGGGUAGCGAAUGGG